GAGAGAAAUCUCGAUCGAUAAUUGCCAGUUUCGGCUUAAUCGUCGUUACGUUGUGAUGUAUUCAAGUAUGUUCGGACCUGAUUUUUUGGAAUUCGUACCUCGGUACCUUGGAUGAAAAGACAAUAGAGAUAAGUCUGAGUUCAAGCAAAAUAAUAAUAAUAAUAAUAAGAAGAAGAAGCUAUCCUUGCCGUUGCGACAUAACCUUAUGUCACUGUAUGAUUUUCAUCAUAUCUUGGGUGAAAUUAGAAUAUGCAUCGUAGAAUAAUUGGAAAAAUUUUGAUUGGUGGAUCCUGACAAUUCCGACUUAAGUAUAAUUUUUCAUUGCGUUCAAAACGUGUAUGUACAUGCGGCGUCACACGAAGCAGGAAGAAACUUCUUCUGAAAACUGAAGCAGUAACAGAGUGCCCAAUCGAUAGUGGAUCUCAGAAAGUCAAGCAUCCCACCAGCCGAUAUGGCUUUACCGCCUCCCAGAUUCGAUUACAGACCAAUGCCGCCUAGAAUGCCGCCGCCGAUGAACCCGCUAUUUAGCGGUCCCGGGUCGAUGAGACAGAGCUUGUCACCGCGACUACAAAACGGUAUUCAGCAACCCAAUCUACCAUUCUUGCGACCCAGAACACGUGGGAUAGUACCUGUUAUCAUGCCGCCUUUGGUACCUUGUGGCGUUAGAAUACCACGGCCCUUAAUUAUACGUCACUAUCACAAAAGGAUAUCGCCACCGCAGAUGAUAUCACCCGUGAGAUCUAAAUUUGUGGCUGAUAAUGAUAACGGCAAGGGCAAGGCGAUGACCAACACGAAGAUCAAUAAACUUCAAACUCAUCUGCAGUCAGAUAACAAAAAACUACAUCAUCCAAAAGAUAAAAAUGAUGUUGGUUUCGAAGACAAUACGUCAUAUUAUUGCGGGAUAUGUGACAGAGAUUUUUCGUCUGAGGACGCUUUGACUGAACAUAAAAGUACACACAAACUUUGUGGUAUUGACGGAUGUACGUUUUCGGCACAUCCUCUGCUUGUUGAGAAACAUAUUAGUAUGCAACAUAGUACUGGUUUAUAUGCGAGAAUGAAAGAUUUGUCAGGAAAGGAUGGUAUAAAAAGGUGGACAGAAGAACGGAAAAAGAGGUUUCCUACUAAAAAUAACAUUAAGUUGCGCGAAGCAGAAAAUCUAGAAAAAUUACAAAGAGGGGAGACAAUCAAGCAAGAUCGACAUGUUUUUAAAACAACGAGAAUGACAAAUAUGCGUGGAAAGAAGCGCAAAUCACACAAACAAUUAACACGAAAACCUGAUGAUUAUCCUCAUGCAGAUGAAUUAUAUAAAGGUUUACGCCCAUUUCCUGGAAUAAAUAUUUAUAAUUUGCAAAAGGAAAGUUCUAAUGAAAUAUGCCUCGAUAAAGAAACGGAACAAAUGAAUUUACCAGAAAUAACCAGUGAUAUUUCUGAUGAAGAUGAGGAUACACCGCAAGUAUUUAUGGAGUCCAAACCUAAUUUAUCUACAUUUUCUUUAGUAGCAAAUUACGAAAGCGAAGAAGAGGACAAUUCUCCCGAAGAAAUGCCGAUAAAAAGAAUAAAAGUGGAGGAUCUUCGAGAUCAUAAGAUAGCAGAAAAUAUUACAGUUCUUAAAGAAACUUCCAAUGACAGCCAAUUUUGCACAGAUGCAAACGAGGAUAAAUCGAUUUAUCAGUGUUUUGGCAUGCUUCAAUAUUAGUAAUGGAUGUGGCUUAGUUCUUCGCAUUGGAAUAAAUUUGUCACCAUUGCAAUAAACAAAUACUUAUCAGAUAAGUAGUUAAUAUUCAAAUAAAAUAAAAGAUGAAGUAUCUAUGUACAAUCUGUAAUUAUAAAUGUUGGACUAAUUCUUUCUUUUGAUUAAUUUUUUGUUCCAGCUCCUCAGCUAUCAAUGUGCUUGCAGAAUAUUAAUUACUGGAAGACAGUUCUAUGGAGUAAGAUUGCAAAAGUCUGAAGUUACUGUGUCCUUGAGUGCGUCCCACUUGUAAGCAAAAAUUGAAUCACCUCCUAACGUCAAAUAUCAAAGUAAGAUGUGUCACUACGAGUGUGACGACAGAUUGACGCAACAAAUCGAGAACAACAAACAGGAUGUUUUACCUAUGUUUGCCUCUGCAAGUAUGAUUAUUGGGAUUUUAUCAGAGAUAGUGAACUUCUCCCAAAAAUUGACAAUCAGUACUUGAAGGAGAUAACUACAGUAAAAUGAAAAAUAAAAAUCAUAUAAAAUUAAUGUACUAUUAUUAUUGUUUGUAUUAUUAUUAUUCAUGAAUUUUUUGGUAUGCAAUAUUAUUUUAUAACGUUUAAAGGAUUUUUGUAACAUUAGAAGUGCUUGUCAAUUCCAGGA